AAUAGAUACCCGGGUAGUCCACGCCGUAAACGUUGGAUACUAGGUGUGGCGGUUAUACCAAUGACUGCCGUGCCGAAGCUAACGCAUUAAGUAUCCCGCCUGGGGAGUACGGCCGCAAGGCUAAAACUCAAAGGAAUUGACGGGUCCCCGCACAAGCGGCGGAGCAUGCGGCUUAAUUCGAUGCAACCCGAAAAACCUUACCUGGGUUUGACAUCACGGGAAAAGCUGUAGAAAUACAGUGUCCAUUAGGGCCCGUGACAGGUGGUGCAUGGCUGUCGUCAGCUCGUGUCGUGAGAUGUUGGGUUAAGUCCCGCAACGAGCGCAACCCUUGUCUCAUGUUGCCAGCACGUGAUGGUGGGGACUCGUGAGAGACUGCCGGGGUCAACUCGGAGGAAGGUGGGGAUGACGUCAAGUCAUCAUGCCCCUUAUGUCCAGGGCUUCACACAUGCUACAAUGGUCGGUACAAAGGGCUGCGAUGCCGUGAGGUUAAGCGAAUCCUUUAAAGCCGGUCUCAGUUCGGAUCGGGGUCUGCAACUCGACCCC
rnacentral:rRNA from 1 species